CUGAGCUGCUGAAGCCAAUGCUUUAUAACCUCCUGCGUCCUCACCACUCACAUACUUUGAGGGGAAAUCUGCCUGUCUGGACAGUUAGGUUCUUACCUCCGCAUCCAGUGUGAAAACUGAACACCCGUUUGUCCUGAUUUCAAAGACGCACCCUGGCCUUUUGGUUGCGAUCAUCUCUGAUGUUUGCCUUCAUGCUUCUGACAUUUUUCAUAGUUAGAAGGCAGGGGUCAAAAUGACUUGCUGUUUGUGUUUUUACAUCAUCCUCUGACCAAGAUCUGUGGCACUCUGGCAGGGGGAUGCCCCAGGUCACGGGCACCCCCACCCGAGACCACCCCACACUGCAGUGCACGCGGCACUCUCUGUACCCCCGUCCCCGUGGGCUGCCAGACCUGAGAUCAUAGCCCUGGGUAAUAUUUACACAAAAUGAUUUUAGUUGAUUUCUCUGAAGCUAACGGGCAAAAGGAUCAGCUUUUUCCACUUGUAUCCUUUGAGAAGGGUGCUAAUUGUUGUCAUAGCGGUGGGUGUGAACGAUUCAUUUGUGUGUGUAUAUAAAUUUUACUGCCAUCUCUUUAGUUUUAAGCCCCCAAAACAGAACCGCAGUCAACUGCAUUGAUGUAUUCAAGGCUGUAUUUAUACAAUUUGGAUUGAGGAUGAAUAUGGUAGCCAUUGUGCAGUAAAGAAAGACUCACAGAUUGGUCACUUUUUAAAGUCUCUUGUUACAUCAACCAAAGAAUAAAAAGUACAUAUUGGUGAGGCCAAGCUUAGUUUUUGAGCACGACGGCUCUGUGGCCUAGAAUGAGGCAGAAACUGUUUAGAAAAACCAUUUUAACUGCUUCAAACUGCAGCUUGGUCAGCCCUCAUUCACCUUACCCAAGCCCUUCACCCUGUUAUACACACACACACACACACACACACACACACAGAGCCCUCCUCAUUCACUUUACCCAGCCCUUCACACAAACACACACAAAACACCCCUCAUCCCACCCCCCAAGACUACACCUUCCAUCUCUGACCUUUGGAUUUUCUCUCUGGGGAUAGACUGCCCCCUGCUGGCAUAGCCCCUGUCUUGAUCCAGAGCCUCUGUUGAGCAGAAGUCUUAGAGAUUAAGUUUUAAAAUCCAGCUCAUCUUGAUGUGUCCAGUCUAAGCGUAGAAGAUGUAGUCUGGCCAGCCCUGCAUUUGAACGUGGUGACACCAAAGUGCUUGGCGUUAUCAGCCCCUCCAGGCAGAACAGCACGUGCUCUUCCUGACUGCCCUCCUGCCCCCAGCCCACAAGCACAAGGGACCAGGCAUUUCCUCCUGUGAGUGUCAUGCUAAACAGCCAUCAUUCCAGGCCAGUUUUGCCUGGACCCCCACCAAAACAGAUGAUGCGGGAGAAAAAACCACAGAGGAGACCAUGAACAAAAAACCCUCAAGGACUGAAAUCACCCCUCAAGGUGCCUGCAGAUCACACUAUAACAGAAUUUUCUUGCCCAAAUAGGCGACUCAUGCUUCCCGAGUGUAACCAAAGCAUGUGGUGUUUCAGGGCCAUAUGCUCUGGUUUUCUAUUUUGGAAACCUUCAGCUAUCUUACUUAUGUACUGUAUGUAAAUUUAUUCUUUUUAAAAUCAUUUUUGUUUGAUUAUGAUUUAUUAAAUGCUUUAAAAGCCAG
ensembl:lncRNA